rnacentral:rRNA from 1 species
CUGACCCAGCGAAUGGGGGCACGCCGACCACGGUAAGGUCAGCGACUGGGGCG